UACGUAGGGGGCAAGCGUUGUCCGGAAUCAUUGGGCGUAAAGAGCGUGUAGGCGGCCCGAUAAGUCCGCUGUGAAAGUCCAGGGCUCAACCCUGGGAUGCCGGUGGAUACUGUCGGGCUCGAGUCCGGAAGAGGAGUGUGGAAUUCCUGGUGUAGCGGUGAAAUGCGCAGAUAUCAGGAGGAACACCAAUGGCGAAGGCGGCCCUCUGGACCGGUACUGACGCUGAUGCGCGAAAGCGUGGGGAGCGAACAGG
rnacentral:rRNA from 1 species